UACGUAGGGUGCGAGCGUUGUCCGGAUUUAUUGGGCGUAAAGAGCUCGUAGGCGGUUUGUCGCGUCGGCCGUGAAAUCUCCACGCUUAACGUGGAGCGUGCGGUCGAUACGGGCAGACUUGAGUUCGGUAGGGGAGUCUGGAAUUCCUGGUGUAGCGGUGAAAUGCGCAGAUAUCAGGAGGAACACCGGUGGCGAAGGCGGGACUCUGGGCCGAUACUGACGCUGAGGAGCGAAAGCGUGGGGAGCAAACAGG
rnacentral:rRNA from 1 species